GAUGAACGCUAGCUACAGGCUUAACACAUGCAAGUCGAGGGGAAACGAUAGAGAAAGCUUGCUUUUUCUAGGCGUCGACCGGCGCACGGGUGAGUAACGCGUAUCCAACCUGCCCAUCACUUGGGGAUAACCUUGCGAAAGUAAGACUAAUACCCAAUGACGUCUCUAGAAGACAUCUGAAGGAGAUUAAAGAUUUAUCGGUGAUGGAUGGGGAUGCGUCUGAUUAGCUUGUUGGCGGGGUAACGGCCCACCAAGGCGACGAUCAGUAGCCGGACUGAGAGGUUGAACGGCCACAUUGGGACUGAGAUACGGCCCAGACUCCUACGGGAGGCAGCAGUGGGGAAUAUUGGGCAAUGGGCGCAAGCCUGACCCAGCAACGCCGCGUGAAGGAAGAAGGCUUUCGGGUUGUAAACUUCUUUUAAGAGGGAAGAUAAUGACGGUACCUGACUAAGAAGCACCGGCUAAAUACGUAG
rnacentral:rRNA from 1 species